CGGCGGAAGGGGCGGGGCGGGGCUGUACUUCCGUGGUCGCGGGUGGGGAGUCACGAAUCGCAGUGAACCAAAAAACGUCCAGCAUUUUCUUCAGUUACAAGCAAAAUGAAUAUUCCCAUGCUGCUCCAACAUCCUCAUCGGGACUUCCUUAAAGUCCUUUUAAGAACACUUUUCCGACGUUACCACUUCAUCUUACCCUCAAGUACUCACCUCAGAUCAGGAAUCCCACGUGCUCAGCCAUUCAGUUCUCUCGGACUCCAUCCUGCAAAGUGGAUGCUGCCGUCAAAUGGUUUAACAAGAAAAUUAUGUCUACAGACAACCUUAAAGGAACAAACAGAAGGACUUUCUAAUAAAGAACAAAGGCUUGUGGCUGAGCUUUAUACUGGUUUAAUCCAAGGGCAAAGGGCCUGCUUGGCAGAGGCCAUAACUCUUAUAGAAUCAGCUCACAGCAGGAAGAAAGAGUUAGCCCAGGUGCUUCUCCAGAAAGUGUUAGUCCACCACAGAGAACAAGAAAAAUUAAAUAAAGGAAAACCACUAGCAUUUCGAGUGGGAUUGUCUGGGCCUCCCGGUGCUGGGAAAUCAACCUUUAUAGAAUAUUUUGGAAAAAUGCUUACUGAGAGAGGGCACAAAUUAUCUGUGCUGGCUGUGGACCCUUCUUCUUGUACUAGUGGUGGAUCACUCUUAGGGGAUAAAACCCGAAUGACUGAGUUAUCAAGAGAUAUGAAUGCAUACAUCAGGCCAUCUCCUACUAGAGGUACUUUAGGAGGUGUGACAAGGACCACAAACGAAGCUAUUCUGUUGUGCGAAGGAGGCGGAUAUGACAUAAUUCUUAUUGAAACCGUGGGUGUGGGGCAGUCGGAGUUUGCUGUUGCUGACAUGGUUGACAUGUUUGUUCUGCUACUGCCACCAGCAGGAGGAGAUGAAUUGCAGGGUAUUAAAAGAGGUAUAAUUGAGAUGGCAGAUCUGGUGGCCAUAACCAAAUCUGAUGGAGACUUGGUCGUGCCAGCUCGAAGGAUACAAGCAGAGUAUGUGAGUGCGCUGAAAUUACUCCGCAGGCGUUCAGGAGUCUGGAGACCAAAGGUAAUUCGUAUUUCUGCCAGAAGUGGAGAGGGGAUCACUGAAAUGUGGGAUACAAUGAAAGAAUUCCAGGAUGUGAUGCUUGCCAGUGGGGAGCUGACUGCCAAGCGACAGAAGCAGCAGAAAGUUUGGAUGUGGAACCUCAUUCAGGAAAAUGUGGUAGAACAUUUCAGGACCCACCCCACAGUCCGGGAACAGAUUCCUCUUCUGGAAAAAAGGGUUCUCAGUGGGGCCCUGUCCCCCGGACUAGCAGCAGACCUGUUGUUGAAAGCUUUUAAAAGCAGGGUCUAGUGAAGUACAUCCUAUCCAAUAACUUUAUGUAUCUUUUCAUAUAUAUAAAGUUAUUGGGUAGGAUGCACUUCAUUUUAAUGAAGUGUUUUACUAUUAAAAGUCCCUUGCGUGCUUAUAUUUUCAGUAAUUCUCCCGUGGUUCCCUCGGCCUCCCUGUCUGUGAACUGCGCUUGGAAGGUGGAAGAGCGUUAGAUACGGAUGGCAAAGGUCAGGCAGUCAGCAGCAUUUGCAAGGCAACUGCCGUACGUUACUCAGCUCCAUUUCUUUCUCUUCUUACACAUGGUGGCCUGUAGGAUGGUGUCUUCUCAUCGGUCACGAGCAGAGAAAGCUGAGGAGGACAGAAAAAGAUCAUGUACCUUAAAACGCUUUCUUUGAUUCUCUAUUCUCUGCGUUUCCAGAGAAAAUGUACAGCCGCAGUUAACAGUAGCUAUCACGGUGCAACCUAGCAGGGAAUUGUCUCUUCACAAUCACUAGGAUGGUUGUUUACCUCUUUCCCUAAGCUCUUGUGGCUAUUACCCAGUAUACACUGAAGACAAAAGCUCAUGAACAACAUACAUGUGAUCCUCAGUGUUUAUGUAACUCCGUCUUUAAUGCAGGAAAAAAAACAAAACAGGAAGAAUCAGUGACAACAAUUCUAACGUUGCACUCAUCCAGUAGAUUGCCGUCAUAGAAGUCACGAUGCUACUGCCAAGAACUGGUAAACUGCAAGGGCUUCGAGAAGAGAAGCAACUCCUGUGGUCUGUACAUCCAUGCAGAUGGUGGAGCUCAGCUGCUCCUGGAGCAGUCCACGUGGGGCUUCACAAGCACAACUGCUUCCUAAGGCAAACUUUAUGACACUCCUCAUACAGUCCAGUUCUCCUCACCUAAGGGGUACAUCUUGGGGUGCCACUGUGACUCAUGUAGUGUGUGAGAAAACUUGCUAAAUGUCAGCAUCGUUAUUCAGGGAAGACUUGGAAAAUGAUGAGCAAGUCGAAAUUUGCCUUGAAAAAGAACCUUCAGAAUGAGACUCUAGACUAUUUGGUUUUCUUUCCUUCAUUGUAGUAUUUUGGUUACUUGGUUACUAAAUUUAUGAACUUUUGAAACCCACGCAACAUGAAUUUGUAAUUCCUGCCCCAUGAGGUUUAUGUAAGUACACUUUUUGGUCGUCAGUGGUAUGUUUGAUAACAGAAUAUUAGAAUGGCACAAAAGCUGUUAUACAAUAUUGGAUGCUUUUUUUUGAUUCCAGAAAAAAUUCAACUUGGUCAUGUAAAAUGUAGAUGAUGCUAUUGUGAGUCAAAGUACAUUAAUGUUUACUGGAAAAUUGAUGCAUAGAGGUACCCUGGGGGCAGAUAAUUUUGCUGAGCCCCCUCAGCUUCUUGACAGACGAGGUGAGGGCACAUCUACGUAGGUAAACUAUUGUACUCUCAGCAAGUCUAAACGCUUAAUCAGUUAAUGUUGCUUUUAACCAACACAGAGGCAAUCAUGCAACCUCGUCCUCAAAGCUCUGUACCGUCCGCCUGGCCAAUUUGAGGUGUGGUUAGAAUUCUACAAAAGGAUAUCUUAGGAUGCUAUCUUAAAGCGAUUUAUUGGGCCCAUUUUGGUGCCAAAUCUUGUUACCUAUAGAACCUAACUAUCCAAGGAUCAACACUGUCUUCUUAUGAAUCAAGUCACUUUUACACCCACGUUUUGCUGACUCAGGAUUCCGUCACAUCAGGCAGGACCACAGACCCCUCAAGCAUUUUUGGACGUUCUAGGGACUCCUCACUGAUCACCAACAAGCUUUAAGUCUUGGGUGCAGCUUACUCCCCGCAGGCUUCUGUUGGGCUCCACUGUUUUAGCUGCCGCUCUUCCUGUAGGAGAACACUGCCCUGCUUAGAUGGCCCCAAACUGUGAAACUCCUAAGUUGCUGAAAUAGUGCUGUGUUCACAGAGCACAGGAUCCCUGCCUCUCCUCUCACAGGGGCUGGUCCACAGGGCUGGGGUCGGGACCAACUCCCACAGCGUCUCUCAUUGAGCUCAGCUCUCCUGUCUCUUCCCCCAGCAUACAAGCCCACAAUCUCUGCAGAAAACUUCCCCCACACAAGCCCCCUUUUCAAAAUGUCUAUCAACCCCUGCAAAGAUGCCUGGGUAGUUGGCAGUCUCUCCUUGUCUGGCAGUAUCAUCUUCAGUUGAGUCGUGAUCUCCCAGCUUCACAUAUAUAUGAUUGCUAAUGUUCUAUCAACAACCCCUUAAAGGCAUUAUGACUCCCAUUUUACAGGAAAAGGAAUUGAGCAAUAGAAAUAUUAAGAAAUUUGUCUAAAUUCACUGAGCCUAAAUGUGAUACAUUAUAUACAUUAGAUUUUUUUUAAAAAAGAAGAUGUUGGGGGUAGGAGUUUAUUAAUUUAUUUAUUUUAUUUUUUAUUUGUUUUGCUGUGUUGGGUCUUCGUUUCUGUGCGAGGGCUUUCUCUAGUAGCAGCGAGCGGGGGCCGCUCUUCAUCGCGGUGCGUGGGCCUCUCACUGUCACGGCCUUUCUUGUUGCGGAGCACAGGCUCCAGACGCGCAGGCUCAGUAGUUGUGGCUCACGGGCCCAGUUGCUCCGCGGCAUGUGGGAUCCUCCCAGGCCAGGGCUUGAACCCGUGUCCCCUGCAUUGGCAGGCAGACUCCCAACCACUGCGCCACCAGGGAAGCCCGUACAUUAGAUUUUUAAAAGUACUAAUUUCCAGUUGCUCAGAGUGCUUUAUGAACCUUAUUUCAUACUUUCCAUAAGAUAGUUCAGGUAUUAUCUUUAUUUAUGGAUGCCUCUGUGGUAUAGAAUGGGUAAGGGAUUUGUACAUAAUUCAGAUGGUAAGAUCUUGCUCAGUAUGUUAUCUUUAAGGCCUUUCUUCUCUGUAACCUAAUAUAUCUUAGAUUUUGCUCUUUUGGAGAAUGGUGCCUCAAGGUAUUUCUUUUCCAGUAGACUUUUCUGCUUAUGGUUGAAGAUGAUAUUUUAGACGUUACAAAACAACACUUAACGUCAGCUCUGUAUUAGCCAAGACUCUUGUCCAGAAAUGACAGAAACCUACUAGCUUGGGCAAAAAGAGGAAUUUAUUGGCUCAUCUAAUCAUUCAGGGAGAAGCAUAGGGGUGCAGCAAGCUUCAGGGCCGCAGAUGAAGCUAGGAUUCUCCAUCUCUUCCUCUCUGUGUGCUGACGUCAUUCUCCGCGUAGCUGCAGCACUAGCAACCAGCAGCACUCAGGUCCGGGGAAGGACUUCCCCUGUCUCCAGAAAUCCAGUUCUGAGAGUCUUGGGGAAACCCUCAGGCUGGCCUGCCUGACAAGUCAUAGGUCUGUCUCCGUGGCCAGUGGUGUGGGGUGUUAUGGUGUUAUGACUGGCUGGAAACAUCUGGAGUUAGGGGAAGGCCCAUUCUCCAAGAUAAGUGAGUUGUUAGUUGCAGAAUAAAGUAGAAUGCCAGGCAGACAAAACAAAUGUCUACUAAACAUGCUUUAAUCUGUUUUGGAAUAAAGUGAGAUAUAA